rnacentral:rRNA from 1 species
GCUAAGGUCCCCAAAUCAAAGUUAAGUGGCAAAGGAGGUGGGAGUGCACAGACAACCAGGAGGUUUGCCUAGAAGCAGCCAUCCUUGAAAGAGUGCGUAAUAGCUCACUGGUCAAGCGCUCCUGCGCCGAAAAUGAACGGGACUAAACUUUGUACCGAAGCUGCGGACUUGUAGCGAUACAAGUGGUAGGGGAGCGUUCUGCGAUAGGGUGAAGCACUAGCGGCAAGCAGGUGUGGACGAAGCAGAAGUGAGAAUGUCGGCUUGAGUAGCGCAAAUAUUGGUGAGAAUCCAAUACCCCGAAACCCUAAGGGUUCCUCCACAAGGCUCGUCCGUGGAGGGUUAGUCAGGACCUAAGGCGAGGCCGAACGGCGUAGUCGAUGGACAACGGGCGAACAAUCCCGUACUGAAGAUUAGUUGUGCAGAGGGACGGAGAAGGCACGCACCAGCCAGAUGUUGGUUACUGGCGCAAUUAACCGAGGCAUCGAGAAGCGGCGAAAACGCUUCGAGCUGGGGUUAAGAGACCGAGGGUCUACGGACCCGAAGUGGUAGCGGUCAAGCUUCCAAGAAAAGCUCUAAACACGUUAACUAAUCGUCACCAGACCCUAAACCGACACAGGUAGGGAGGUAGAG